GAAAAGACAGGGCUGACUGGUGCAGAAGUAGGUGGUUAUAGGUAUUGACAAAUCAUAAUGGAGGAAAUCAAUAAAAGAUAAAAGCAAAAUGAGUUACUCGAGGCAGAUGACAAAAAUCCAACAAAUCAAAAGAAGAGGCAGAUGACAGGAACAAUGCCAUACUAGGAUCUGUGAGGAGAUGGUGUAGACAACACAUGGUAGCUUCAAAAUGAGUUACUCGAGGCAGAUGACAUGAACAAUGCCAUACUAGGAUCUGUGAGGAGAUGGCGUAGACAACACAUGGUAGCUUCAAAAUGAGUUACUCGAGGAGAUUGCAUGUACUAGCUGAGGUGCUGCGCUGCAAAUGAGAGGUCAGGGCGAGUAUGAGUGAGGCAAUUUAAUUUGCCGACCAGCUUUUGGUAAAUUGUGGGGUCACAUAACAAAUUCCCAUAAUCCGUACGAAGCUGAUAAGAAGGAUCAAUUGGAGAAGGAGCCGGUUUCAUAUUCAAACAACCAAAUUCAACCAAUAAAUCCAAGGUGAACUUACGUUGACUGAGUAUUAUUCCAUGUGGUUCUCGAAUAAUUUUCAUGCCAAGAAAAUAGUGUGUUUUUCCCAAAUCCUUAAUUUGAAACUCAGAAUCAAGAAAUAUUUAAGUGAAGUAAUUUCUGAAGGAUCAUCUCCUGCUAAUAAUAUAUUGUCCCUAUAAACAGCAACAAUAGUAAUUUUACUUUCUGAAUUCUUAAAGAAUAGUGAAUAGUCAUUAAGAGAGUGUGGGUUCCCAUUGAAGUUCAAGGCUGCAGUAAGUCGGGCAUGCCAUUGUUGUGAGGCUUGCCGCAUUCCAUAUAGUGAUUUCUUGAGUCUACACACAUGAUGAGGUGAGGGAGAAACCAUACCAGUUGGGAAUUUUAUGUAGAUCUCCUCUUGAAAAAUGCCCCAGUUUUUUUUUAACUGCAACUGCCAAUAGACACCUGAUAAUAAAUUUCAGUAAAGUCUAGUCCUUCUCUUAGAAUGUCU
rnacentral:lncRNA from 1 species